rnacentral:misc_RNA from 1 species
GAUGAAGAACGUAGCGAAAUGCGAUAAGUAGUGUGAAUUGCAGAAUUCAGUGAAUCAUCGAAUCUUUGAACGCACAUUGCGCCCCUUGGUAUUCCAUGGGGCAUGCCUGUUCGAGCGUCAUUUGUACCUUCAAGCUUUGCUUGGUGUUGGGUGUUUGUCCAUUCUCUUGCAGAGGGACUAGCCUUAAAGUAAUUGGCAGCCAGUGUUUUGGUUUUGAAGCGCAGCACAAGUCGCGAUUCAAAGCUAUACGCCCGCUUCCACAAGCCUUCUUCACUUUUGACCUCGGAUCAGGUAGGGAUACCCGCUGAACUUAAGCAUAUCAAAAGCGGAGGA